ensembl:lincRNA
CCCGCCUCGGCCUUCCGGCCGCCCCCGCCGGGCCUCGUCCCGCUCGCUGCCUGCUGCCCUCCGGGACCCCUGGCUCCCACGAGUGAAGGCCGGCGGGUGUCUUCUUUACUCUCACACAGGCGACGCUCCAUCGCGCGCCUCUGUCCGCCGCACUGAGCGCGGACCCUGCGCGCUCUCCACAGGCCUGGCGGCCGAGGGUCGGGAGCGUCUCCUUCUCCACAGUCCCCGUGUAUCCGUAUGAAAAGAAAGCGGACCCGAAAGAACCACUGUUGCCGAGGAACAGGUGAACGCGGGGCCAGAGCGAGGAGGAGGCAGAGCGGGCGAGCCUCACUGCAGAUCUGGAGCUCUGCUCUGCAGUGGCCCCAGCUUCUAGCUGUGCAUCAGCCUAGGCCUCCUAUUUAAUGCCCCAGGGCCUCCUGAGGUGAUGAGAUCCUGUGAGGAGCUGGGCAGGAAGUAACACUACGCAUGGCCAUGUGAUAGGACAGGUACGUAAUACAGAAACUCAGUGUGGGAAAUGAAAGAGGACAACAACACCAGUUACCUGGUGUGAAAACCAGAACCAGCCAGUCAGGUUCUACUGAAGUAGGACAAAGCUUUUUCUACGUUGCUUUCUAGCUUAUAGUAUAUAGUUUAGCAUCUUUACAGAAAACAAAUUCAAUGAUUAGUGAAAACCUUCUUACAGAACACUUAAGUAAGCAGCCAUUGUAUUGCAUGCUACUGAUUAGGUAUUACUUUCCUUGAGGGUGUUCUGACGCAUACGUCAGCCAAAAGGCCAAGUGACUUCAUUCUUCCCAAAAUAGCAGUUUCUCAACCUGACACACCCUGGAAUGUAUUAUUGUGGCUUCAGUGGACUGUGUAGUGGCAAAUUUGUCAUAAGAUGUUUUACAGAAAAUAAUGUCCUUAUUAAAAUAUUAAGUAUAAAUUAUACCUAAUUACAGAUUUUGACAUACACAGAAACUUAUAAAUACAUUUGUACAAUUUAAUAUACUUCUACAUUUCUCUUUUGUAUAAUUCUAUAUAAAUACAUAAUUCAUGACUUUAUAUAUUAUGUACAAUUGUAUUGCAUAUGUAAAUUUUAAGUUACAUUUUAAGUUUCCCAGGUUUAGUUCAAACUCUUUUUCCCUGUGUUACUUAUUUAGUUAAAAUACUAUUUCUUAAGUAUUAAACUUCUGGAGAGGCUGAUGGACCAAGAAUAAAGUAAAUAAAGUUUUCAUGGAUCUAAAGAGCAAGUAAACAUCUAUGUAAGUAAGGGUGAGAGUUAACAGGCAAGUUCUCACACUGCUAGUGGACAUGUAUAUCACUAUAUUUUUUUCUGGAAAUUGAUUUGGUCUUUACAUCAAACACCUUAAAGUUGUGAACACCUAUUCAUGUAAGAUGUCCACUUCUCAGGUUUCAUCAUAAGAAAAAUGAGAUGAAAUUAUAAAUCUACACACUUACCGAUUUUCACUCUAGAAAUACAUUAAUAUAAGAAAUUACACAAAGAAGGGUUUAAUUAAUUAUACAGUGGUAUGUAGGUAAAAUAAAUGCUUUGAAAGAGUAUGCAGAUUACAUAUUCUAAUUUGGGAAAUGUGUUCAUGUAUUUGGCAAAAGGUCAGAUUAGAAAUAUUUAUAUUAUGAACCAUUUAUAUUUUUAAAAUAAAAAUCCAUA